rnacentral:piRNA from 1 species
UCCCACACGAUGAGUCAUAAAUGUGAGA